rnacentral:rRNA from 1 species
GAUGAACGCUGGCGGCGUGCCUAAUACAUGCAAGUCGAGCGAACAGACGAGGAGCUUGCUCCUCUGACGUUAGCGGCGGACGGGUGAGUAACACGUGGAUAACCUACCUAUAAGACUGGGAUAACUUCGGGAAACCGGAGCUAAUACCGGAUAAUAUAUUGAACCGCAUGGUUCAAUAGUGAAAGACGGGUUUGCUGUCACUUAUAGAUGGAUCCGCGCCGCAUUAGCUAGUUGGUAAGGUAACGGCUUAGCAAGGCGACGAUGCGUAGCCGACCUGAGAGGGUGAUCGGCCACACUGGAACGGAGACACGGUCCAGACUCCUACGGGAGGCAGCAGUAGGGAAUCGUCCGCAGUGGGCGAAAGCAUGACGGAGCAACGCCGCGUGAGUGAUGAAGGUCUUCGGAUCGUAAAACUCUGUUAUUAGGGAAGAACAAAUGUGUAAGUAACUAUGCACGUCUUGACGGUACCUAAUCAGAAAGCCACGGCUAACUACGUG